CGGGGACCAGCCCGGCCCAGAGCCACCGGGUGCCUGCUCCGGUGGGCGCCGCCAUCUUGGAAGAGCAGCCUGCCUACGGCAAGCCGGAGGGGUCAAUUCAGAACGAGGGCGAGCCUGACCACCUACAGCACACGCAGCCCAAGAGUACACAUAACGGAAGCUAUUUAUGCUGCUUCUUGAUUUGUUCCCCUUUGGUUGCUAUGUAAAUGCAUCUUUUCAGGAAAGCCAGCUCCACAGGGCAUGUGGGACAGGGCCUGCCCUUAAGCCAGUGCUCAGAUAAUAGCGACCGACUCAGGUCACAGAUACUGCUACACCUCUCAGGCCUGUCACUGUGGUUUGGCACCAGCCCAUUUGGCACCGGCUCCGAAGGCUUCAGUUAAAGAGAUGAAUGGGACAGAGCGCAGGAGCUAAACUUGUAAGAUCUAUAGCAAGCUCCUCUGGAGAAGUGUCUUUAAAAUCGUCUUUCAAACCCCCAAGAAGUCUGCUUUUCCCACUGAGAGGAAAACAUUCUUUAUUUUAGGAACACUUCGGACAGGGCACUGAGCCACCUUCCACCAUGCUACUGCGUGACCUGAGCAUGACUUACCCAGGCGUGCAAGAGCAAUUUGCUGCACCAUUUUUAAUGGCUUCUAAACCCAGGUAAAUCAUAGUCCUUGGCAGCUAAGGAAAGGCCUAGAAACUACUGCCAGGAAGCAGAAGAAUCUCCAGCCGGCUGAUGAAGAUCAAGAAAAAAAAAAACCAAAAC